rnacentral:rRNA from 1 species
UGGCUCAGAACGAACGCUGGCGGCAGGCCUAACACAUGCAAGUCGAGCGAAGCCUUCGGGUUUAGCGGCGGACGGGUGAGUAACGCGUGGGAAUAUGCCCUUCUCUACGGAAUAGCCCUGGGAAACUGGGAGUAAUACCGUAUACGCCCUACGGGGGAAAGAUUUAUCGGAGAAGGAUUAGCCCGCGUUGGAUUAGGUAGUUGGUGGGGUAAUGGCCUACCAAGCCUACGAUCCAUAGCUGGUUUGAGAGGAUGAUCAGCCACACUGGGACUGAGACACGGCCCAGACUCCUACGGGAGGCAGCAGUGGGGAAUCUUAGACAAUGGGGGCAACCCUGAUCUAGCCAUGCCGCGUGAGUGAUGAAGGCCUUAGGGUUGUAAAGCUCUUUCAGCUGGGAAGAUAAU